rnacentral:rRNA from 1 species
GACGAACGCUGGCGGCGUGCUUAACACAUGCAACUCGAACGAUGAAGCUGGAGCUUGCUCUGGUGGAUUACUGGCGAACGGGUGAGUAACACGUGAGUAACCUGCCCUGGACUCUUGGAUAACCCCGAGAAAUCGGAGCUAAUACCGGAUAGGACCUCGGAUCGCAUGCCCUGGGGUGGAAAGCUUUUCGGGCUGGGGUGGAGUCGCGGCCUAUCAGCUUGUUGGUGAGGUAAUGGCUCACCAAGGCGUCGACGGGGAGCCGGCCUGAGAGGGUGACCGGCCACACUGGGACUGAGACACGGCCCAGACUCCUACGGGAGGCAGCAGUGGGGAAUAGUGCACAAUGGGCGCAAGCCUGAUGCAGCAACGCCGCGUGCGGGAUGACGGCCUUCGGGUUGUAAACCGCUUUUAGUAAGGAAGAAGCCGCAAGGUGACGGUACUUGCAGAAAAAGGACCGGCUAACUACGUGCCAGCAGCCGCGGUAACAC